rnacentral:rRNA from 1 species
GACGAACGCUGGCGGCGUGCUUAACACAUGCAAGUCGAACGAUGAAGCUGGAGCUUGCUCCGGUGGAUUAGUGGCGAACGGGUGAGUAACACGUGAGCAAUCUGCCCUUGACUCUGGGAUAACUGCGGGAAACUGUAGCUAAUACCGGAUACGACCCUUGGAGGCAUCUCUGGGGGUGGAAAGAAUUUCGGUCAAGGAUGAGCUCGCGGCCUAUCAGCUAGUUGGUGAGGUAAUGGCUCACCAAGGCGACGACGGGUAGCCGGCCUGAGAGGGUGACCGGCCACACUGGAACUGAGACACGGUCCAGACUCCUACGGGAGGCAGCAGUGGGGAAUAUUGCACAAUGGGCGAAAGCCUGAUGCAGCAACGCCGCGUGAGGGAUGAAGGCC